rnacentral:rRNA from 1 species
GGAGUCUAGCAUGCGCGCAAGUCAUUGGGACAUAACUAAACCUAAAGGCGCAAUGAAAGUGAAGGUUUGCCUUGCGCAGACCAAGGGAAGAUUGGUGAUCGCUUCGGCGCAUUGCCUCGCAUUCCCGGGGCGUCUCAUUCUUAUUGCAAGAAGAGGCGCACCAAGAGCGUACACGCUGGGACCCGAAAGAUGGUGAACUAUGCCUGGUCAGGACGAAGUCAGGGGAAACCCUGAUGGAGGUCCGUAGCGAUUCUGACGUGCAAAUCGAUCGUCGGAACUGGGUAUAGGGGCGAAAGACUAAUCGAACCAUCUAGUAGCUGGUUCCCUCCGAAGUUUCCCUCAGGAUAGCUGGCGCUCAUUGUAUACGAGUUUCAUCCGGUAAAGCGAAUGAUUAGAGGCAUUGGGGUCGAAACGGCCUCAACCUAUUCUCAAACUUUAAAUGGGUGAGAUCUCCGGCUUGCUCGAAACAUAUUUCAAUGAAGCCGUGAGAAUUUUAUCUUGAAUCAGAGUGCCAAGUGGGCCAUUUUUGGUAAGCAGAACUGGCGCUGUGGGAUGAACCAAACGCUGAGUUAAAGCGCCUAAAUCGACGCUUAUGGGAUACCAUGAAAGGCGUUGGUAACUUAAGACAUCAGGACGGUGGCCAUGGAAGUC